rnacentral:rRNA from 1 species
UGGGGGAUCUUGCGCUAAUGCGCGAAAGCGUGACGCAGCGACGCCGCGUGGGGGAUGAAGGCCCUCGGGUUGUAAACCCCUUUCGGCAGGGACGAAGGGAAACUGACGGUACCUGCAGAAGAAGUCCCGGCUAACUACGUGCCAGCAGCCGCGGUAACACGUAGGGGACGAGCGUUGUCCGGAUUCAUUGGGCGUAAAGCGCGCGUAGGCGGCUCGGAAAGUCGGGCGUGAAAUGCCGGGGCUCAACCCCGGGACUGCGUCCGAUACUUCCGAGCUGGAGGUAGGUAGGGGAGAUCGGAAUUCCUGGUGUAGCGGUGAAAUGCGCAGAUAUCAGGAGGAACACCGGUGGCGAAGGCGGAUCUCUGGGCCUUACCUGACGCUGAGGCGCGAAAGCUAGGGGAGCGAACAGGAUUAGAUACCCUGGUAGUCCUAGCCGUAAACGUUGGGUGCUAGGUGUGGGCGGACAUCGACCCCGUCCGUGCCGAAGCUAACGCAUUAAGCACCCCGCCUGGGGAGUACGGCCG